AGAGUUUGAUUAUGGCUCAGAUUGAACGCUGGCGGCAGGCUUAACACAUGCAAGUCGAGCGGUAACAGGGGGUGCUUGCACCCCGCUGACGAGCGGCGGACGGGUGAGUAAUGCUUAGGAAUCUGCCCAGUAGUGGGGGAUAGCCCGGGGAAACCCGGAUUAAUACCGCAUACGUCCUACGGGAGAAAGCAGGGGAUCUUCGGACCUUGCGCUACUGGAUGAGCCUAAGUCGGAUUAGCUAGUUGGUGGGGUAAAGGCCUACCAAGGCGACGAUCCGUAGCUGGUCUGAGAGGAUGAUCAGCCACAUCGGGACUGAGACACGGCCCGAACUCCUACGGGAGGCAGCAGUGGGGAAUAUUGGACAAUGGGGGCAACCCUGAUCCAGCCAUGCCGCGUGUGUGAAGAAGGCUUUCGGGUUGUAAAGCACUUUCAGCGAGGAGGAAGGCUCUGAAGUUAAUACCUUCAGGGAUUGACGUUACUCGCAGAAGAAGCACCGGCUAACUCCGUGCCAGCAGCCGCGGUAAUACGGAGGGUGCAAGCGUUAAUCGGAAUUACUGGGCGUAAAGCGCGCGUAGGUGGUUAGGUAAGCGAGAUGUGAAAGCCCCGGGCUUAACCUGGGAACGGCAUUUCGAACUGUCUGACUAGAGUGUGGUAGAGGGUAGUGGAAUUUCCUGUGUAGCGGUGAAAUGCGUAGAUAUAGGAAGGAACACCAGUGGCGAAGGCGGCUACCUGGACCAACACUGACACUGAGGUGCGAAAGUGUGGGGAGCAAACAGGAUUAGAUACCCUGGUAGUC
rnacentral:rRNA from 1 species